rnacentral:tRNA from 1 species
GGGCGUAUAGCUCAGUGGUAGAGCAAUUGACUGCAGAUCAAUAGGUCCGGGGUUCGACUCCACGUGCGCCCU